UAAACCAAUCAGAAGCUUGAAAUAUGACGCCACGCAAGGGCCGUGCAGGGUUAACGUGAAGCGAUGGCAAGGUGGAUUGGGGAGCAGCCCCAGCUCGGGGUUCGCACCGUGACUCAGAGAGACUGUCAUUUCACCCACACUGACUGAUGUGUUAAGACACACCUGACUGUAUCAGAGAUCCUCUCUCGGACAACAUCGUCUCGCUGAGCUGUCUCAGUCCUAUGGUGUUCUGCAACUAUGACUAACCUGAGGAGGCUUGGAUUUGGCUGCAGGUAUCCCCGUACAUCCUUCUCAGCAGCACACAUGACACCAGGAGAGAUGCGUCCUCUGUCACAGAUGGUGUGGUCAGUGAAGAUGGUCACCUGGAGGUUCAAGCUCAUUGCAUCUCCAACCCACAUCCACUGCCACUGUAUUUAAGGGAAGUUAAAGACUUGCACUUACAUGUGAAAUACCUAAAUCCAUGACAGUCAUUCAGCCAGUAAUGCCUGGACUGGAAACAAGCAUCCUUAAAAUAUUACAGCAUACCAAGCUUCUGUGUUUGAAUGCAAAACAAAUAUGUUGUUUGAUCUAGAGACUGCACUUGUGGCUAAACAAUAAAUAUAUUUUCUUUUGAUUAUAUAAGUAAUGUAA